AGUGCCAUGAGCUCUGCAGGGCUCAGGGAAUUCUCUCCAGGAUUGUGGCAGUGCCAGCAGAUGUUGGAGCUCCUGUACCAGCUGCCCUCCCCCAUCACCCUGGCCCAGAUGCUCCAGCACAUCCUUCAGGAUGCCUCGAGGAAUGGAGUGCAUUGGCUGCUGUAUGACAGGGUGGGAAGGUGAAGCAGUGAAGUGAAGAGAAGCCAUGGCUCAGAGAAAUGUAUUUUAAUAGCUCUUCUCAACGUGUGCAUAUAGAAAUUCCAAAGGUUUCCUCUCAAGGAGAAUCCAGCAAGUCUGUAAUGGAUUGACCUUCCUUUGACAGCAACGGUGCAGCUUCCCAGUGCAACACUCUGCAAAAGAUCUGCCACAAGGAGAAAUCAGGAGCAGCUGACUGUGGGAGCACAGUGGGGAUGUUGUGAGCAAUGUCCUUCCUGGAAGAAGAAGCGAACUGGCCCUAGCAGGUGUAAAUACACCUGGCAAGUCAGACACCAUUUAUCUGCUCCAGGGCCCAGCCCCGAGCCCCACAGCCACACCACGGAACAGGGUUGGGAGUGCUUGCAGGCCAUUUUGUUCUCACAGAACCCUCAGAUGGGUUCAUCACAGCGACCAGAAAUACCACAAUUACACAAUUAUCUGGCGAUUUAAAAAUUAAGCUGUUUAAAUGAGAAGGCAUUAUACCAAUGAGAUGCAUUUUAGUCACACAUGGAAACAGGGCCCCCCCAAGCCUUUAGCCCGUGUUAGCACUGCUCGCUGUAGCAUGGGCUUUGUUUUAUGACAGGGUCACAUUUCCCUCGCCCUUCCAUUCAGAAAAUGACUGUGGUUGCCCAUGAAUUGUUGUAAUCAGUACCACUUAGAAAUGAGAUGAUGUGCUUAAAUGGUGCAGAAAGAAUGAUCAUCCCCCAAAGCUGAACUUUAGAC